CGCGUAGGUGGUUAAUUAAGUCAGAUGUGAAAUCCCUGGGCUUAACCUAGGAAUUGCAUAUGAUACUGAUUAGCUAGAGUACAGAAGAGGGAAGUGGAAUUUCCGGUGUAGCGGUGAAAUGCGUAGAUAUCGGAAGGAACAUCAGUGGCGAAGGCGACUUCCUGGUCUGUUACUGACACUGAGGCGCGAAAGCGUGGGGAGCGAACAGGAUUAGAUACCCUGGUAGUCCACGCCGUAAACGAUGAGAACUAGAUGUUAGGGGGCUUAGACCUCUUAGUAUCGCAGCAAACGCGUUAAGUUCUCCGCCUGGGGAGUACGGCCGCAAGGUUAAA
rnacentral:rRNA from 1 species